UCUUGUUGAUAUUUCGAGUUUCGUAGUUUUGCCGAGUUAGAUAGAUCUUCCAUGUUUCUACUUGAUAAUACUAUCUCGGCUACAAUCUCUGCACAUUCUCACAAAUUCUCUUACGCACGUGUUUAUGAUUUAUACACAUAAAUUUCUCGAUAUGCAUUAUUUUUUCAGAGGUUUAAAUAAAUUAUAUAUAAACAUCAAUAUGCAAUGCAAGAUACACUUUCAAAGAUCUUUAUAGGUAAUACUGGAAUAGGAUUCAAGUGAGAUAUUU
rnacentral:lncRNA from 1 species